UGUGGCAUCCAUAAUCUAUCAAGUGGUGAAAUGGUUAAGACCAAAGAAAACAAAUAUUUCACUCAGCAACGAAGUGGCCGUGAUAACUGGUUCUGCUGGCGGUUUGGGUCGUGAAAUAGCCAUCGAUUUGGCUAAGCGUGGCUGUCGCAUUGCCAUCGUCGACAUACAACAAACGUUGGCCGAAGAAACAGCCGAAUAUAUAGCGGAAACAUACAAUGUUAAAGCCAAAGCGUACAAGGUUGAUGUAUCGGAUCACAAACAAAUUUCCGAAUUACGAGACAACGUCACCAGAGAUUUGGGAGAUACAACAAUUUUAGUUAACAAUGCUGCAGUAUUAUUCUUUUCAAC